UUUUCUAAAAACUUGGAGGAAAUGGGAUCAUUAGAGAGAAUGAGAGCAUAUUAGGAAAGUUCAUCAGCCUUCAGAUUCACCAUAUUUCUGAUAGAGUCCCUCAGGAAGAAAAAAAAGACUUUUUUGCCCUUGGUGUGGGUGGUUUUCAUAAUGAGUUUGUAAUAAUUUGCUUUCCUCUAUACAGUGCAAACACAAUCCUGUGUCAGGUCCUGUUGUGCACACUGGGCAGGCAGUGCAAGGCUUGGUUCUCUCCUUUGGGCUGAGGAAAUGAUGGGUGCUGUGUUUGACAAGCUAGCCACUGGAAGACAUUCUUUCUGAGGAAGUUAUUUUACCUUCAAGUGCAUGGAAAUGUGGCAUAUUUGCACAAAGUACAAGGAAGGAAGCAAAGAGAGAAA